GACGAACGCUGGCGGCGUGCUUAACACAUGCAAGUCGAACGAAGUGGCGCACGGGUGAGUAACGCGUAAUCAACCUGCCCUUCAGAGGGGGACAACAGUUGGAAACGACUGCUAAUACCGCAUACUGAAGGAGGGGAUUGCGUCUGAUUAGCUCGUUGGAGGGGUAACGGCCCACCAAGGCGAUGAUCAGUAGCCGGUCUGAGAGGAGGAACGGCCAAAUUGGGACUGGAACACGGCCCAGACUCCUACGGGGUGCAGCAGUGGGGAAUCUUCCGAAAUGGACGAAAGUCCUACGGAGCAACGCCGCGUGAGUGAGGACGGCCUUCGGGUUGUAAAGCUCUGUUAAUCGGGACGCGGUACCGGAAUAGAAAGCCACGGCUAACUACGUGCCAGCAGCCGCGGUAAUAC
rnacentral:rRNA from 1 species